rnacentral:rRNA from 1 species
AUUGAACGCUGGCGGCAGGCCUAACACAUGCAAGUCGAACGCGUGGCGGACGUGUGAGUAAUGUCUGGGACACUGCCUGAUGGAGGGGGCUCACUACUGGAAACGGUAGCUAAUCCCGCAUACACUCAUAUGUGCCCAGAUGGGUUUAGCUAGUGGGUGGGGUAACGGCUCACAAAGGCGACGCUCCCUAGCUGGUCUGAGAGGAUGCACAGCCACACUGGAACUGAGACACGGUCCAGACUCCUAGGGGAGGCAGCAGUGGGGAAUAUUGCACAAUGGGCGCAAGCCUGAUGCAGCCAUGCCGCGUGUAUGAAGAAGGCCUUCGGGUUGUAAAGUACUUUCAGCGGGGAGGCGUUACCCGCAGAAGAAGCACCGGCUAACUCCGUGCCAGCAGCCGCGGUAAUUC